rnacentral:rRNA from 1 species
GACAACUCUAGAGAUAGAGCCUUCCCCUUCGGGGGACAAAGUGACAGGUGGUGCAUGGUUUUCGUCAGCUCGUGUCGUGAGAUGUUGGGUUAAUUCCCGCAACGAGCGCAACCCUUAAGCUUAGUUGCCAUCAUUAAGUUGGGCACUCUAAGUUGACUGCCGGGGACAAACCGGAGGAAGGUGGGGAGGACGUCCAAUCAUCAUGCCCCUUAUGAUUUGGGCUACACACGUGCUACAAUGGACAA